GCAAGGGAAGGGGAGGGUAAGGGAGAAAGAGGGGAUGGGGAGGGGAGGGGAUGGUGAAGAGCAGAGCGGAGGGAAGGGCUGAGGGGAGGGCUGAAGGCAAACCAAUGAUGAAAAAAGAAAAGAAAAAAUAAGAACAAAAAAUAUGAAAUAAGAGAAAAAAAAAAGAAAAAUAAGAAAAGAGAAAAAAUGAAAAGAAAUGAACAAAAAGAAAAAAGAAAAAGAAAUGAAAAAAAAAAAAAGAAAAAGAAAAAAAUGAACAAAAAGAGAAAAAGAGAAAGAAAAAAAUGAACAAAAAAGAGAAAAAGAAGAAGAAAAAAAUGAACAAAAAAGAGAAAAAAAGAGAAAAGAACAAAAAGAAAAAAAAGACAAAAAAGGAAAAAGAAAAAGAGAAAAUAGAAAUAAAAAAGAGGACAGAAAAAUAUGAAAAAAAGAAAAAGAAAAAAAGAAAAGAAAAAAAUAAUAGAUGAAAAAAGGAAAACGAAAGGAAAAUGGUUAAUGGCAAGAGAAGAAAGGUAAAGAGAAAGAAGAAAAAAGCCAAGUCAAAAGUAAAGAAUAACUCGAAGGAAGGAGUGGAUGGCAAGAAAUACAGGGAAAGCAUGCAUAGCACAGCAAAGCAAAGCAAGGCAAAAUAGCAGCCAAAGCCACGAGAAUCAAGAAGUCAGUGAAGAGCAGGAAAGGAAUGGAGGAAUCUGGCCAGAGCUGUGCCCCUGCUUGCCACAGGAGCUGCGCGGGAGGAGAAGAAUGUGGGCCAAAAGGUAAGAGGAGCUCCUUUGGGUUCUGGGCUUGAAGCAAAGCUGAGAAGCCAUGCCCGGGAGGAGGUGUGGGUAGCUACAGGCCACCUUGCUAUCUCCCCAAGAGAUGAGGUGUGUGGGCUAGGCACCGGGCAGGAGUGCUGGCCAGAAGCAAGCAUCUCUGUGGAGGAAGGCAAAGGGCGGAGGAGGUUCAAGGGUAGCUACCGGGCAUGGCCUUGCUCAGCAAGGGGAGGAAAAGCCUGAAGGGCACGAGAAGGGGACAGAGAAGGGCAGGCAGUAGGCGUGAAGCUGUGAGCAGAGUAGAGAGCAACUUGGCAGAGCAGCAAGCAGAGUAGGCAAGUGCUGAGGUUUGGCGUGAGUAGCAGCAAAAGCCCAUAGCAUCAAGAAGCAGGAAGUGAGGAGAAGGUAAGUGAAGGGCAGGCAAGGUAAUGGGAGGCAGAGGCAAGGGGAAAGGGGAGGGUAAGGGAGAAAGAGGGGAUGGGGAGGGGAGGGGAUGGGUGAAGAGCAGAGCGGAGGGAAGGGCUGAGGGAGGGCUGAAGGCAAACCAAUGAUGAAAAAGAAAAGAAAAAUAAGCACAAAAAAAUAUGAAAUAAGAGAAAAAGAAAAGAAAAAUAAGAAAAAGAGAAAAAAGGAAAAGAAAAAAAAUGAACAAAAAAGACAAAAAAGAGAAAUGAAAAAAAUGAACAAAAAUAAGAAAAAAGAGAAAAGAAAAAAAUGAACAAAAAAGAGAAAAAAGAGAAAAGAAAAAAAUGGACAAAAAAGAGAAAAAAGAGAAAAGAAAAAAAAUGAACAAAAAGAGAAAAAAGAGAAAAGCUAAAAAAAGAAAAAAGAAAAAAAAAAAGAAAAAGAAAAGAGAAAAUAGAAAUAAAAAAGAGGACAGAAAAAUAUGAAAAAAAGAAAAAGAAAAAAAGAAAAGAAAAAAUAAUAGAUGAAAAAAAGAAAACGAA
rnacentral:lncRNA from 7 species